rnacentral:rRNA from 1 species
CCUACGGGAGGCAGCAGUGAGGAAUAUUGGUCAAUGGUCGGGAGACUGAACCAGCCAAGCCGCGUGAGGGAGGAAGGUCCAGAGUAUCGUAAACCUCUUUUGUCAGGGAACAAAGUCGGGGACGUGUCCCCGGCUGAGUGUACCUGAAGAAAAAGCAUCGGCUAACUCCGUGCCAGCAGCCGCGGUAAUACGGAGGAUGCGAGCGUUAUCCGGAUUUAUUGGGGUUAAGGGGUGCGCAGGCGGUCUGUUAAGUCAGCGGUCAAAGCCCGGGGCUCAACCCCGGCCCGCCGUUGAAACUGGCAGUCUCGAGUGGGAGAGAAGUAGGCGGAAUGCGCGGUGUAGCGGUGAAAUGCAUAGAUAUCGCGCAGAACUCCGAUUGCGAAGGCAGCAUGCCGGCUCCACACUGACGCUGAGGCACGAAAGCGUGGGUAUCGAACAGGAUUAGAUACCCUAGUAGUC